rnacentral:rRNA from 1 species
AAAGGAAUUGACGGGGGCCCGCACAAGCAGUGGAGUAUGUGGUUUAAUUCGACGCAACGCGAAGAACCUUACCAGGGUUUGACAUCUCCUGACAACGCCGGAGACGGCGCAUCCCUUCGGGGCAGGAAGACAGGUGGUGCAUGGUUGUCGUCAGCUCGUGUCGUGAGAUGUUGGGUUAAGUCCCGCAACGAGCGCAACCCCUGUUGCCAGUUACCAUCAUUAAGUUGGGGACUUUGGCGAGACUGCCGUGGAUAACACGGAGGAAGGUGGGGACGACGUCAAAUCAUCAUGCCCCUUAUGUCCUGGGCUACACACGUACUACAAUGGCAACAACAACGAGCAGCAACACCGCGAGGUCAAGCGAAUCUUCAAAUGUUGUCUCAGUUCGGAUUGCAGGCUGCAACCCGCCUGCAUGAAGUCGGAAUUGCUAGUAAUGGCAGGUCAGCAUACUGCCGUGAAUACGUUCCCGGGCCUUGCACACACCGCCCGU